GCGGUAGAAUUGAAUAGCUUGCUAUUUAAUUUGAGAGCGGCGAACGGGUGAGUAACAUGUUGAUAUCUGCCCCCAAGUCAGGGAUAGCCAUUGGAAACGAUGAUUAAUACCGGAUAGUCUCUACGGAGUAAAAAUUUAUUGCUUGGGGAGGAGUCUACAUUCUAUCAGUUAGUUGGUGAGGUAAAAGCUCACCAAGACUAUGACGGAUAGCUGGUCUGAGAGGAUGAUCAGCCACAAUGAAACUGAGACACGGUUCAUACUCCUACGGGAGGCAGCAGUGAGGAAUCUUCCACAAUGGACGAAAGUCUGAUGGAGCGACACCGCGUGAAGGAUGAAGGCCUAACGGUUGUAAACUUCUUUUCUGAAGGAGCAUAAUGAGAGUACUUCAGGAAUAAGGGACGGCUAAUUACGUGCCAGCAGCCGCGGUAUCGUAAGUCCCAGUGUACCCGAAUCUUGGGUGUAA
rnacentral:rRNA from 1 species